rnacentral:misc_RNA from 1 species
UUUGGAACAAGUUUGCAUGUAGCACAAAUAACACAUGGCUUAGAAUGAUGUGCUUGGAAUAAAGACUAUUUUAACUCAUUGAGAAUAUAUGAUGAUGCGAGAGGUGUUCGUGAUAGAAAAGAGUCUUUUGGUGGUGCAUGUGCAAGCAUUAUUAAUGAACUCAAACUGAUAGUCUUAUAAAUUUCUUCAUCCACCACCUCCAUUCCUAAUUUGUCUUCAUGUAAGCACCAUUCUAAUGACCCACCAGUUACAAAG